CGAACCAUUUAAAAUAUCUAGUUCCCCGAUGGACAUAAUUGAGUGACGGACCGAGUCCGACCGUAAAUCUCCGUUUUCACUUUGUGCAGCGCAUUCUCGCAUUUUGACAACAUGGCAAGUGAGCCUGACGAACCUGAAGACCCACCCGCAAACCUUAAGUCCUCUGUUUGGGAACACUUUGGUUUCAGGGUAAAAUACGAAGAUGGAAAUAAACAAGUGGACAAGACAAAAGCAGUGUGCCGACACUGCAGAACAGCGGUCGGCAAGGAUCUGCUCCAGCCCUUCCCCUUCUUGAAUCGGUGUAAUGUGGAUUGAUCACUGGCAAGGCUACUGCCGAUGCCAUUUCAACUUUGUGCUGCAAUAUACACCAUCAAUCAGGCAGAGUCAGGCCCCUUGGACCUGUUGCAGACAGCUCCGUGCAUCCAUCAGUCUAUCGAUCACACCUGAUGCAAGCGCUACCUUCAAGCCCAACAUGCCUCCAAGUUCCCAAAAAAGCUUUCUCUUUUUAGCCUAAUCCAUAUUGUGUGUGUGCUUGUCAGUGUGUGUGUGUGAGAGAGAAAGAGACAGAAAGAGAAGAGUGGAUAAAAGCGGACAUACAGAAUAAUCCCACUCCAAACAAUCGCCAGAUUCAUUCUUAGGUUGGCGUCAUUAUGAAAAAUAACUUGAUGUAUUCAUAUCAACACAGCUCGGAGACCAGACCAUUCACUAACAAUUGUACAACUCUAUG